rfam:Human gut metagenome DNA, contig sequence: F1-T_010738.
GGAAUCCGGUUUAUCCAAGGUUUAGCAAACCAGAUAAUAGCGAGUCUUGGGAUGAUGUCGGUAACGCAUCUGACAAGCGUAGACAGCAGAAAGCAGGGUUGAAUAGUGAUUGAGCUUCGAAACGUUACUUCAGUCGGUCGACGUCUUAACUGGUGCGGAAGACAAUACCAUGUAAUACGAUAUGGCGAGUAUUAUGUGGCACUGCGGAGUCAGAGAACC